AGCCACCUACGGGGCGCAGCAGUGGGGAAUAUUGCACAAUGGGGGAAACCCUGAUGCAGCGACGCCGCGUGAGUGAAGAAGUAUUUCGGUAUGUAAAGCUCUAUCAGCAGGAACGAGACAAGACGGUACCUGACUAAGAAGCCCCGGCUAACUACGUGCCAGCAGCCGCGGUAAUACGUAGGGGGCAAGCGUUAUCCGGAUUUGCUGGGUGUAAAGGGAGCGUAGACGGCUGUGCAAGUCUGAAGUGAAAGCCCGUGGCUCAACCGCGGAACUGCUUUGGAAACUGUAUGGCUUGAGUA
rnacentral:rRNA from 1 species